AAGUGCGGCCAGACCGAGGCUGGAGAAAGAGCGCAGCCAGAGACGGAAAGGCAGCCAGGCUGCAGGAUAGUGAUGGGGGCCAAGGGCCCUGCUGCACACUUGGACAGGAUGAACUUGGCCCACAUUUUGUAGAAUCUGCAAAAGCCCCGGGUUCUCUCAAAAUGUCACAGUGGUAACUUGGAGCCCCUGGACUCCCCCAAUUCCUCCUUCGGCAUUCACCCUCCUCCAGGGGUUUCCCCAUAAUUGGCCUGAAUGGUGCCCUUCCCAUUCCCCCAACGUGUCCCUCCCAUAACUCCUCAAAGUUCAGGAUACACCAGGCGCUGUGAUUCACAAUAAAGUCUGCCUUUAUUGA
rnacentral:lncRNA from 1 species